rnacentral:rRNA from 1 species
AAUCAACGCUGGCGGCGUGCCUAACACAUGCAAGUCGAACGCGAAAGUCCCGCAAGGGAUCAGUAGAGUGGCAAACGGGUGAGUAACGCGUGGGUGACCUGCCUUCGAGCGGGGGAUAACGUUCCGAAAGGGACGCUAAUACCGCAUAACAUCCUGCUUUUUAAGAGGUGGAGAUCAAAGCCGGGGAUCGCAAGACCUGGCACUCGAAGAGGGGCCCGCGUCCGAUUAGCUAGUUGGUGGGGUAAUGGCUCACCAAGGCCCCGAUCGGUAUCCGGCCUGAGAGGGCGGACGGACACACUGGGACUGAGACACGGCCCAGACUCCUACGGGAGGCAGCAGUGGGGAAUUGUUCGCAAUGGGCGCAAGCCUGACGACGCAACGCCGCGUGGAGGAUGAAGAUCUUCGGGUCGUAAACUCCUUUCGAUCGAGACGAACGGCUUCCGGGUGAACAAUCCGGGAGAGUGACGGUACCGAGAGAAGAAGCCCCGGCUAACUCCGUGC